rnacentral:lncRNA from 1 species
AGUGCCACACCUGUGAGGGCAACAAUGUUUGGCUCCUUGCCUAAGGCAGAUGCAGAUAUCCUGGGAGCCAGAAAUGUUUGUGACUUCGUUAGUCCAGCCAGCACUAAUGACUAUGAGUACUCGUUCUCAAGACAACUGAAACAACCAAUUUAAUAUAACAAGCUCCACUGCGUCAUGAUAAUCUGGCAUUUUCUACUCAAAAUACUUGAAUGAAGAUGUACUUUUGAAGGGCCAAUUCAGCGUUUAAGGUAUUGUCCACAAUAAGGAGAAAAAGAGCUUUGCUCUACUAGGAUCAGCUCUACUCCAAAACCAGGGUGAUUCCUUUUUUAAAAAUGAUUAUUACUUUCUAAAUUGAUUGAUCCCACAGAAGACUGGGUGUGAGGCUUGGUGAAAGAUACAUUAUGAAUAAAGGAUGCAGAGAACUUUG